AAGAAGCGGAAACCCUGUCCUGAGCAGAGCAUUCUAGCAGUUGACACUAUGAAGGGGACACUGCUUAUGCUGGCCUUGCUGGUGACCAGAGAGCUGGGCAUUGAGAUGGUGGAAGCUUGCCCUAUUUUUUAUGAAGUCUUUGGCACGGUGGCCCUUGGAGACGAGACACUGUUGAACGUCUCCCUUGAUCUGGUCAGUGCUACUGAACCGGAAAAAAUAGCCAUAGGAAAAAUCCAGGAUUGCUACAAUGAGGCGGGACCCGUAUCCAAAAUCUUGGAUCUGAUCGUCAUGGUUAGGGGAGCUGGCAUUGCAGGAGUAGAAUUUUAACCUCUGGUGGGAAAGAAAGAGUUCAGUCCUGGCACAUGUAGGAGCCAUCAGCUCUACUUUAGAAAUGUUUAAAAUGAGCACCUGCCUUUAGAUUCUUCCCAGGAAGGGACUCCCUGGCUUGAGUACCAUCACCACCAGCGGCGAAUGCAUCAGCCACGCAGUGGACACGCUGACAGAUUUUGAAG